rnacentral:rRNA from 1 species
UAAACAUAGACAGUCCACAUACCCCACUGUCCGCCCGGGGACUACGAGCAUUAGCUUAAAACCCAAAGGACUUGGCGGUGCUUUAUACCCACCUAGAGGAGCCUGUUCUAGAACCGAUAACCCCCGUUCAACCUCACCCUUCCUUGUUCUUCCCGCCUAUAUACCGCCGUCGUCAGUUUACCCUGUGAAGGCCCAAUAGUAAGCAAAAUCGGCACAGCCCAAAACGUCAGGUCGAGGUGUAGCGUAUGGAAGGGGAAGAAAUGGGCUACAUUCCCUAUCAUAGGGCAUACGGAUGAUUACGCUGAAACGCAUAUCUGAAGGAGGAUUUAGCAGUAAGCAGAAAGUAGAGUGUUCUGCUGAAGCCGGC